AUGUUUUAUAAUUGUUUUUGUUGUAUUCUUCACAUUGUGCAGAAAAGAAUAAAAGACACAAGUACUUUUGUUUUGCUCUGUUUCUUCCUUACAGAUCGUAGUCUGUUUCCUCCCAAGGCAGUAAAGCAUUACACAUCCUGGACCCACACCUCAGAGUCUGCAUGCAAGUAUUCGUGGGCACAGGUCUCAGGGCACUUGGCACUGCAGUAUAAAGCUCAAGGGAGCCAGACUGUCACGCAAAGCCCUUACAGCCUGUCCACAGCCUUCCGUCCAACAUUAUGCUGCCUUGUCUCAUGGGACACAGCCACCUGGAACCAAACAUCAUGGAAACAUGAGGACUUUCCCCUUCUGAACCCAGAGACACUGUUCAAGCAGUGGUUUCAUCUCCUGUUUCUUGAAAUGCUCUUUCCUGGGGUUCCCAUUUCCUCUGACAUCAGCAUGGAUGGGAUACAUUUCCUUGGCUUUCCUUUCCUGGCUGCUCUUUUAAACAAGGCAUUUUUAAGAAUAAUAGUUUUCUGCCUGUUGCUGAAGCAAAGCAGACCAGCAGAAACAGAAGCGAUCAGAGCAAGCUGUACAGCUUAGAAGCCCUCCUGCAGACUUGAGUCUUGCAGUCUCGGUCGGCCUGACCCAUGCUGCUAAGAUGGAAAUCAGCAGCCUCCCUCACCAGGGACUCCUUUUGUCUGCUCGUGUCAGGAAAAGUCUCCUCCAUUUAGACCUAAAAGAACUCUUUCCUCUUUUAAGUUCCUGACCCUGGGAGAGCUUUGAGUCUAUCCAAACCCAGAAGGCUAGGAAAGAUGACCAUGAGUGAAUGACACACCCAGCCCAGAAACCAUUCCGAAAACCGUCCUAGGCUGUGGUGACGUGUUCUGAAGUUGAUCAUCCCGGACUUAAAUUUUGGCUCCCCAACUCUUUAGCCAUGUCAGUCUGGGUAAGUAACUUUAACCUCUCCAUGCCUCAUUUGCCUCGCCUGCUAAAUAUGGAAAGGAACAGGAAUGAUUUCAUAAGAUGGUUGUAUCGGGGUGCCUGGCUGUCUCAGUUUGGGGAGUGUGCCAUUCUGGAUCCCAGGGUAGCAAGUUCGAGUCCCCCAUCGGGUGUGGAGCUUGCUUAAAAACAGCAUCCAGCAAUCGUCCACAGUACUGUUGACACAGGAAGAGUACUCCUGCUGACCGGAUCUCCAGGGAGGAGGGAGGGGCUAACCAGGUGGUCGCCAUAAGAAGAGACUUCAGAGUGCUCGUGGCAGGGUCCAAGAAGUUGUGGACUGGACGGGACCACCCAGAGUUCGAAUCCGGGCUCUGCCCCACUUUUCUCAUCUCCCGAUGGGCGUUCAGGCCUGUGGCCGGGGGCUGUCGGGGGUCCCAUUGCCUCAGUGUGGACAUCGCCAGAACGUGCUCAGCACCCCGCGAUGCCUCAGGAAAGCUGUCCUUGCUGCACACACUACCGGGAACAGCAGGUGCUUCCAGCCCACACACCCAGAGACGCGGAGGUCCGGCGGUUUGGCGCCAAGCUCCCACUUCCUGUGGAGCCCCUUGGUUCAGCAGUGGCUCCUCUGCUGCUUCGGCCCAGGGCCAGACAAGGGUUCCCA
ensembl:lncRNA